rnacentral:rRNA from 1 species
UACCGGCAGCACGAGUGAUGGCCGCUGUUAUUGGGCCUAAAGCGUCCGUAGCUGGCCAGGCAAGUCUAUCGGGAAAUCUCCCCGCCUAACGGGGAGGCGUCCGGUGGAAACUGCCUGGCUUGGGACCGGAAGAUCCAGAGGGUACGUCCGGGGUAGGAGUGAAAUCCCGUAAUCCUGGACGGACCACCGGUGGCGAAAGCGCUCUGGAAAGACGGAUCCGACGGUGAGGGACGAAAGCUCGGGUCACGAACCGGAUUAGAAACCCCCGUAGUCC